ensembl:lncRNA
CUUGGACAUGCUCUACAAAAAAAGGCAAUCAUGGUAUGCAAAUGCGCCAAACUAGAUUUUCUGCCAUUUUGAAUUUGGUGAAAAACACGUUUUUCGCCAUUUCUCCUAAACUUGGCUGCGUUUCUAGCCGUCCGGCCGGUGCUCCGACAUGCGGAGUGGCGAGGACCCGUCCAACGCUGCUUGCAGCUUUAGUUUCUCUUUGUAGCCGAUGAGUCUCCUGCUGAAAAUGAUGAGCCCGAAAUGUGCAAUGAGGAGGCUGUGACUACAGAGACAGAUGUUUCAACUGAUGAUGACAACACAAUUUCAAAGGGAGCUGUAGCGCGUUCUAGGAACUCUACAGGAAAUCCUUCACAGUUUUUGUUUCAGAAGUCUGCCAGUGCCUCCCCAAAAUUAAAAAAAAAAAAACACAAAUACAUCAACCUCUCCACCACCACACAGUCUUUAUCCUGGGUCUGAGGAUCUUUUCCAGACUGAAGAGAAAGGCAGCGGCCACACAACUUUCUCCAACACCUUCAUGGCUGUCGUAGCAUCUUUGGAUGACACGUGGGUUUCAGAUGGAAUCUCCACUCCUCGCACCCCCAAUCCUGUCUCGGCAAGGAAAUCUGGAAGACAAUCCCCCAGUCAAAUGUGGAAAGGCAAAAAGGGUAUAUUUUUCCCAUGUCCACAGCAAGUAAGUAAACGCUUUGCCAAUUCUAUAUUUGUCUGUAAUAUAUUCAUCAAUGACCAUGCAAACAACAUUUUAUGAAUUUGUUGUUUUUGUAAGAAUUCCAAAGGGUGGUCCUUGGGAAGUCAAGGUGGACCUGACGGAAGAGGUUCACCAAAUUAGAAGGGAGGUGGAGCCCGACGGUUUUAUCCACGAGGUCCCAAAAUUAAAACUGCAAGUGGAACUUGAUGUGCUGGAGGGGACAUUAAAAGAUGCAGACCAGCGGACAUCAUUGGUAAAAAUUAGAUAAUGGUUAAACUUUUUGGAAAUGUAUUUUUACAAAAGAGGUUAUUUAUUUAUUUCAGACCCAGAGGGAUCCAUAAUACAGUGCAAAGCAGACACACAUUGUAAUAGAUACAAAAAACUAAAAAUAAAUAAAAAGAAUAGCAAUACAACGUAUAAAACCCUUCAACAGUUCAUUGUCUAACAUACUUGUUCUCCAGUGGUUCCACAACCUGGACGCAAAUCUUACAGAACUUAGUCCUGUGUUAGCCAACACAAUGAUUAUGUCAUUUUCUGACUCCGAUACCCUAUCCAUUAAUCUGUACAUCAAGUUGCGCAAUACUGCAGUACAGGUACUUUUCAUGUAAACAAUAUUAACACAUUAAGAAAUACCUUAAAACACAUAUACACAAUUUUGACAGGUUCAUUUGCUGGCCAAAGUAGGGGGCAAGACGGUGAAGGAUGCAACCAAUAAAAUAUUGGACAGGUAUGAACAUCAUACAGACACUGUAAUAUCUGCCAAAUAUAGAAGUCAAAAGUAAACCAUAAACAAACAACUGAAAUUGCAGGGAUACAUUAUGGAGGAAUUACUGGCAGUUGAAAAUGCGGAAGUGACCCUAUUUUGUGAUUCUCAGACUUUUCACAAACCAAUUAAUGCCCACUUUCAACAUGAAAGGGGGUGGCCAAAAAAACAAGAAGGCUUUUAGGGUUACUGGGCUGUACGCGGUGAUUAAAAGGUAUGUUCAGAUAUGUAAAAUACAUUUAAUGAGUGGUUGUACUGUAAAAGUCUAUUUUCAUGUUGAUAUAUAAUCAAUAAGGCUGUCAUGCGGCCAUACAGCAGUGCCACAGAGGCAGAGGUUAAUAAGGCGAUGGCGGACCAUUUGAAGCAGGCUCCUGGGAGGUCCGGUGGGGGCGGUUUUUAAAAAAGGAGACGUCACAGACCGGACGUAACUAGUUCAAUUGUUGGAUCAGAAUGUUCUUUUGCAGUUUCAGUUCACAUGUAUAUUUCUUUUAAAUAUUUUUAUAUUUUAUGAAAUACUCAUAUUUAGACUUGUAUGAUUGUUUUUAAGAAUCAUUAUGUAUGUUGUAAUUAUAUUGUUUAUUAA